UACGUAGGGUGCGAGCGUUAAUCGGAAUUACUGGGCGUAAAGCGUGCGCAGGCGGUUUUGUAAGACAGAUGUGAAAUCCCCGGGCUCAACCUGGGAACUGCGUUUGUGACUGCAAGACUCGAGUGCGGCAGAGGGGGGUGGAAUUCCGAGUGUAGAGGUGAAAUUCGUAGAUAUUCGGAAGAACACCAGUGGCGAAGGCGGCUCACUGGCCCGUUACCGACGCUCAGGCGCGACAGCGUGGGGAGCAAACAGG
rnacentral:rRNA from 1 species